rnacentral:lncRNA from 1 species
UUAAUUUAGCUUCAAUUGACCCUCGUCCUAUUGAUAAGGUCAUAUUAGCUUUUAUACAAGUGUACAGGGUGUUACAUCUAUGAAAAUACUCUAAUGUGUCAAUAGUGUAAGUAAUCCUUAGACUUGUGAUACCAUGUCAUCUUGUGUGUGAAUUGUCAUGCUUUGAUUUCACCUCUACGAGUCUGGAUAUGACCAGAUGCCAAGAUAGGAUGCUUUUGGGUAUGGCAUGAAACGUGCGAAGAUGAAUGAGUUGUCUAGAAAGGAUUCAUCAUCCCAAGUGAUUUGAAGGGGACAUAUCUCAUUUGCUCCUGGCUUAUAUUGACUAAAAGUCCUUGCCCAAGGCAAUCUUGAUAGGUCAACAUGAAAGCUAUAGGACUAAUAUGGAUAAGUUAAAAAGUAGACACCUAGCCAGACUUUCUAUCUAAUUGGGAUAUAUGAUGAAAAGAUUGAAUUAUAUUAAGAUUGUAACACCCUGUACCCUCAUAUAGAAGACAAUAUAACCUUAUCGACAAGACGAAGGGUCAAUAGAUGCUAAUUUAAGUGCCAAAGAGUGGCAACGGGUGAAAAGAAUAUUUUGAAAUAAAAUAUUCCGUACAUGAGAAAAUAAUAAUAAAAUAAUAAUAUUUUAUCGAGGAUGAAUUAUCGAGUUAAAAGGCAAUUUAAAAGUGAACCGAGAUAAAGUGAGACACUUUGGGACCCGGGGAGACAAGUAGAAAAUUU